UUCAUUUCAUCCACAUCCGCUCCUCCUUCUUUCUCUCUCUGGUGAUUUUCAAUUUAGGGUUUCACGAGAUCUGUGGUAUGAGAUCUCACCAGAUCCAACAAUGGUGUGGUCUGUAAAAGUGGUCGAGUACGCUUCAAGAUCAGUCGAUUUGACCAGAGGUUGAACUGGAUAAUGUUGACCCAUUUUCUUCUCUUCCUGAUCGAAUAUGACCUUUUUUUCUCGAAACCCUACUCAUUCAUUCAGAUUCCCAUCUCCCUGCUUUCUCUCUCAAAUGAGAUCUAGGGUUUCUACAUGUGAUUCAAGAUUUUGCUUUCACUGCUUUCUCUCUCAAACGAGAUCUAGGGUUUCUACAUGCGAUAUCAGAUCUGGCUUUCACAGUUCGGUUCGACACUUCCAUGGAACCAAAAACUCCGAGCCGAGAGCGUUGCAGAUCUACAAGUUGGAGGUGGUUUUUGGUAGUUGGUACUAAAGAUGUUCGGGUGGUUAAACACUUCUCAAUCACCCGGUUGGAAACACAAGAAUCAUCAAGGAAGGGUUACAAAUUAGGGUCUGGAUGUUAUUCAGACUAAUGUUUUCUGGAAUGGGCAUGAACCACAACCUGGUAAAUAUUAUUUUGAAGACAGGUAUGAUCUGGUUAAGUUCAUUAACCUAAUUAAGGAAGCUGGACUAUGUGUUCAUCUCAGAAUAGGCCCAUAUGCUUGUGCUGAAUGGAACUUUGGGGUAUUUCUUGUGUGGUUGAAAUAUAUGCCAGGAAUAAGUUUUAGAACAGAAUGCUCCUUCAAGGCUGCAAUGGAAAAUUUUACAAGGCACAUAGUGAAUAUGAUGAAAUCAGAACGCUUGUAUGAGAAUUAGGGCGGUCCGAUUAUUUUAUCUCAGAUCAACACUGGCAAUGGUUUUUACUGUGACUACUUCCCUCCUAACAGUGAUUCCAAACCGAAAAUGUGGCCCGAAGCGUGGUCUGGAUGGUAACGUGAUAUUUUACGCAGACCGGUCUCCGUCUUCAAAAGGUUACUCACAGUCUUGCUCAGGUUGGGCCUUGUUGCAACAAUAAAGGAGCGUGCUAAUGAGAUAUUUAAGAAGGUCAAAGACCAGAAGUCAAGUAGGGGAAGAAACCAAGACGCCAUAUAGGCGGCCUGUCUUUACACCGCUUGCCGUCAAGAAGACAAGCCACGCACUGUAAAGGGUAUAAACAAUCCACAUUAGUUUAAUCGGAUGCUUACUGGUCUCUGUUUAUAUGAACUGGAUUUUCAUUGUCUUGAACCAGUGUUCAAAUAGAAAUCUGUUCGGUUGCCAACAGAGCCACCAAGAAAGAAAUUGGACGUGCAAAAGAAUACAUUGCUAAUUAAACUGAACUUUUAGGUACUGAAGACAUUAAUAAGUGAUGAAGUGAUAUCUUGUGCGGGGAUUCAACGAGAAUUUGGGGCAGUGAGUAGGCCUGGAUCGAGAUUGGGGAGGGAAAACGAAACGAAAAACCCUAAUCGAUUGCUGAUUGUUUCUCCCCACGGUAACUCUGCGUCGUUGCUGAUGGUUCUUGCUUUUCCGUCUAUGCCACCUCACUCCUGGUAUUCUUCAUCCAGGUCUUUAUAUUUAAAGAUUCAUUGUCAUUUGAAGUGGUAUUCUCAAUCCAUGUCUUUAUUAUAUGGGGCAUUUAAUUCAUUUUUCUGCAAUUUUGGGGAAAUUUCAACUCUUUCAUUUUGAUUUCAUCAUUUCUUGUUGGAGAACUAUGAAUUUCGUGAUUUCAUUGCUCAAUUCAUUUUAAAUAUAGCAUUAUUCCCAAUUUCAAGUAGGUUUUUGAUCUGUUUUUGUGUUCCCUCUAAGUCUAAAGAUACACAUGCACUUAGACUCCUUGAUGAUCAAAGGUGAGUAUUAUGUUAUUGAUCAGAAACAACAUGGAUGAAUUAAACAAAAAAUAAACUUAAUCUGAUCUUUUUUGUUGUCAUUACAAAGGGACAGCUGUAGAUGAACUCAUGAACGUGGUCUAUAUGCUCUUUGAUGGAUUGGAACCUGGAACAUCAACUGUUUCAGUUGUCACAAGAAGAAUAUUAUGACCAUUGGAGCUCAAGACAGCUUGCUGCAGCUGCGAGCCAAACUUAUCGAAGCAAGGCAUACUAAGAAUCAGAGGACGAGAAGAAAGGAGAAAGAGGCGCAGGCGCAGGAGAGAGUAUACCUUCUUUGGUCUUUGCCUAUUCCGUUAACUAUUGCUUUUGUUAGAACUGAAAUAUACAUUAUGCUCUUCAAGAACACUAAUUAGGGGUCAUGUGUAAUUAUAGGAUCAACCAACAUGACAAGACUGGGUCCUUUGAAAUCAAUUUGAAACUAAGUUUUUUUUUCUCUUUUGUAUAAUUAUACUGUAUAGCCUUGUACAUAUAUGAAAUCUUAUAAAGUUGACUUUGUGAUGA